rnacentral:rRNA from 1 species
UACCUAUCACUGGGGGAUAGCCCGGGGAAACCCGGAUUAAUACCGCAUAAAACAGGGGCACCGCAUGGUGAUAUUUGUUAAAGAUUUAUUGGUGAUAGAUGGGCAUGCGUUCGAUUAGCUAGUUGGCGGGGUAACGGCCCACCAAGGCGACGAUCGAUAGGGGAGCUGAGAGGUUGAUCCCCCACACGGGCACUGAGAUACGGGCCCGACUCCUACGGGAGGCAGCAGUAGGGAAUAUUGGGCAAUGGAUGCAAGUCUGACCCAGCCAUGCCGCGUGCCGGAUGAAGGCCCUCAGGGUUGUAAACGGCUUUUAUUCGGGAAGAAGAGCAGGGAUGCGUCCUUGUGUGA